rnacentral:rRNA from 1 species
AUUGAACGCUGGCGGCAGGCCUAACACAUGCAAGUCGAACGAGUGGCGGACGGGUGCGUAAUGUCUGGGAAACUGCCUGAUGGAGGGGGAUAACUACUGGAAACGGUAGCUAAUACCGCAUAACAUCCGCUGUGCCCAGAUGGGAUUAGCUUGUUGGUGGGGUAACGGCUGAACAAGGCGACGAUCCCUAGCUGGUCUGAGAGGAUGACCAGCCACAUUGGAACUGAGACACGGUCCAGACUCCGACGGUAGGCAGAAGUGGGUAAUAGUGCACAAUGGGCGCAAGACUGAGGCAGCCAUGCCGCGUGUAUGAAGAAGGCCUUCGGGUGGUAAAGUACUUUCAGCGGGGAGGCGUUACCCGCAGAAGAAGCACCGGCUAACUCCGUGCCAGCAGCCGCGGUAAUUC